rnacentral:rRNA from 1 species
GACGAACGCUGGCGGCGUGCUUAACACAUGCAAGUCGAACGGAAAGGCCCUGCUUUUGUGGGGUGCUCGAGUGGCGAACGGGUGAGUAACACGUGAGUAACCUGCCCUUGACUUUGGGAUAACUUCAGGAAACUGGGGCUAAUACCGGAUAGGAGCUCCUGCUGCAUGUUGGGGGUUGGAAAGUUUCGGCGGUUGGGGAUGGACUCGCGGCUUAUCAGCUUGUUGGUGGGGUAGUGGCUUACCAAGGCUUUGACGGGUAGCCGGCCUGAGAGGGUGACCGGCCACAUUGGGACUGAGAUACGGCCCAGACUCCUACGGGAGGCAGCAGUGGGGAAUAUUGCACAAUGGGCGGAAGCCUGAUGCAGCAACGCCGCGUGAGGGAUGACGGCCUUCGGGUUGUAAACCGCUUUCGCCUGUGACGAAGCGUGAGUGACGGUAAUGGGUAAAGAAGCACCGGCUAACUACGUG